rnacentral:rRNA from 1 species
GCUUGUCUCAAAGAUUAAGCCAUGCAUGUCUAAGUAUAAGCCUUUAUAUGGUGAGACUGCGAAUGGCUCAUUAAAUCAGAAACUGUUUAUUUGAUAGUGCCUACUACAUGGAUACCUGUAGUAAUUCUAGAGCUAAUACAUGCAUCAAACCCCGACUCACGAAGGGGUGUAUUUAUUAGAUGGAAACCAAUGCGGGGCAACCCGGAUUAUGGUGAUUCAUAAUAACUUUCAGAUCGAUCGCAAGAUCGAUGCAUCAUUCAAGUUUCUGCCCUAUCAGCUUUGGAUGGUAGGGUAUUGGCCUACCAUGGCUUUAACGGGUAACGGAGAAUUAGGGUUCGAUUCCGGAGAGGGAGCCUGAGAAACGGCUACCACAUCCAAGGAAGGCAGCAGG